CUCAGGGUGAAGUGAAAGCAAAGUUUUAAAACUUUUUUCUCUACUGAAAAAUAAAUAUACUUCAGAAAAUCCCUAUCUAGAGAAUAAAGCAAUUAAGAACUACCUGACUGUGAGGAUCUCGCCCCAGCUCGACUGAAAGCAACAUUUUCAUUGCGUUGCAUCAAGAUGUGCGUGAGAAUCAGCCUGCUCUGAUCGGCCAACGUGCUGAGUGACUUAACAUUUCAAUAAAUAAAUAAAUAUUCAGGCCGUCGUAAAAUAUCCUCUGUAAUUAUAAACACGGGAGACUUUAUGAGACGCAAGUGGGAGUUAAAUGGCUCCGCAACACAAGGUCUGAGCAGUUGGUGUGCUUUGAAAUUGGGAGACCUUGGGAAAAUUAAAUCUACCAAAAGACCAUUACCAUUUGUUUCCAAGGCUUGAUGUUUUUGUAAAAAUUUUUCAGCUCUCUAGUUUGGAAAUACAAAGGGGUUUGAAUUCAUUUGAUUCUAGCAGCAUAUGUAGGGUACCAUCUAACAUUAGGGCAACUUGAAUAAUUUUUUGAGCCAAAAGUUUAACUUCUGCUUUAGAAAGUUUAACUUCUACUUUAAAAAAGAUAUGUAGAUGUUAUUAUUGCCUGCAUUAAUGUGGAAAUUACUAAUUGCUAGUUACUUUAUUUUAAUUAAUUAGAUUUAAAAAAAAAUUUUUUAAUGUUUAUUUAUUUUGAGGCAGAGAAAGACCGAGUACAAGCAGGGGAGGGGCAGAGAGAGCGGGAGACACAGAAUCCAAAGCAGGCUCCAGGCUCCAAGCUGUCAGCACAGAGAAUGACGUGGGGCUCGAACUCACAAACCGUGAGAUCACGACCUGAGUCGAAGUCGGACACUUAACUGACUGAGCCACCCAGGCGUCCUAAUUAAUUAGAUAUUUAAACACUGGCUGCAUGUGCCUAGUCCAAGGCUAUGUAGUAUUGGAAAAAUUAACAUUAUAUAUGUUGCCUGAUCUAUGCUUCCUGGGAAGCAAGAUUUUGGAAAUAGUUUGAUAUGGAAACACUUUUUAAAACAUUUUUUUAAAUGUUUGUUCAUUUUUGAGAGAGAGACAGAGACAGAGACAGAGCAGGAGUGGGGGAGAGGCAGAGAGGGAGACUCAGAAUCUGAAGCAGGAUCCAGGCUCUGAGCUGUCAGCACAGAGUCUGACACAGGGCUCAAACCCACAAACCGUGAGAUCGUGACCUGUGCUGAAGUCGUGGCCGAUUGAGCCACCCAGGCGCCCCAACACUUUUUUAUGUAAAUCACUAGAUAGUAUUUAUUCAAGUCCCAAACUGAUUUUGACCAAGUUCUACAAUGUGAUACAGAGAAAGCAAUAGUUAGCAAUCAAGAGGUUUAUGUUGUAAGAAAUAUUUAGGUAGGCAAUAUAGAUGAUUUAAGAAUAUUUAUAGGCCCAGAAAAAUUGGUAGAACUUUGGUAGGUAGAGAUGGCCAGAGCAGAGAUGCACGGUAAAUAGCAGAAAACUACCAGUGAAUUUAUGAAUUAUAUCCCUGAUUACCUUUUCCAAAGUAUGUACGUAUCAUGUAUCUGUCAUUAGUGAAGUUAAUGAAUCAGUUAGUAUCUCUCGAUGAUUUCUAAAUAGUAGACUAUUCCUUUCUUGAUAUGUGUAUUAUCCUAACAGUUGGCUUGCUCAAUAAGCAGCUGUUUUUCUCACCAAGGGCUGUUAACACACGUAGGUGAUAGUGCAUGCUUUACCACUACACUAGCUCUCUGUGUACUUUUGACAGGAUCAGCUACCUGAUCUGUGAGGUCCUGUGCAAAGUGAAAGUGGGGUCUUCCUGGUCAAAAAUUAGCAUUAAGAAUUUCAGGAUCAUGACAGGAUGAAACCAAACCCAGCCCUUCUUCUUCUUCUUCCUCUUCCUCCUCCUCCUCCUCCUCCUCCUCCUCUUCUUCUUCUUCUUCUUCUUCUUCUUUAUCUUUUAAUGUCUUUAAAGUUUAUUUAUUUAUUUGUUUUAUGUAAUUUAUUGUCCAGGCCUUCUAAGUAAGGGGCCCUGUGCACCUGCACAAGUCACACACCCAAGAAGCCAGACCAGCCAAUGGGGACAGCCAGAGAAGGUGGAUGAACUCUGCUUAGUGCAGAACCUUCCAGCCUAGGGCACCCUGUACCAAAUGUGCUCAUCAUGGCUGAGCAACCAUUUACUACUCAUCAAUCCUGACUAGUAUAUAGAUAGAGCUAUAAAGUGAUACCAAGUGUGUAACUUUGUGUAAUAUUUAUUUAACAUUAUAUUUGCACAGACAUGUAUGUAAAUAAAUAUGUAGAACAGAGUUCUGAUAACUUCUGGUAUGGCAGCCUUGGGCAAAUUAACUAGAAUAAGAUCAACUGUCACUAUCCAUAAAUCAUAUUGUAUGUCAUGUUAUAUACAUCAUUCCACAAAUACUCUCUCAGCACCCACUUUGUGCUAGAUGAUUUUCAUGGUGUUAAGGAUACAACAGAGAACAGACUAAACAUAAUCCCUGCUCUCAGAGAGCUUUUAUACUAUUGAGUUUCUGAAAUUUUGACUAAUUUGCUCAGGCUUUACUUUGUAUUUUUGCUUUCAUGUUGAAAAACCCCUGGUUUUCUGGCUUUAUUAAGACCAGAAGCUAUUCUUGUCACUAUUUAGAACUGAGAAGAACCAGGACUCUCUGGAAAAGAAUGCGCGGAAAGUCUGCCCUUGAGAGAUUUCCAAGCUGAGGACACUCCUCAGAGCACUUCCCAUGAGUCCAAAAGGCUCAUUUACUUCCAGAGAUUCCUGGGAAAGAAGACAGCCCCCUUAUCUUUGGUCAGAGGACACUUACCAUAAUCCUGAGUGACAAAGGAUUGCCCUGAAUGUCAACUGCAUCCAUCUUAGAGAAAUCAACAACUCUUGCUUGUCACCCUUUCAAAGAAUUUCCUGGUCUGGUUUGGCCUUUCUAUGCCACAUUCCAUUCCAGAACCCCAGCUGAAAUGUUCUCAAGGGCUGACCAGAGAUUCCUCCUCCUUUCUCUGUGUUGGUAC
rnacentral:lncRNA from 1 species